rnacentral:tRNA from 1 species
AUUUAUCUAAUUUAACUUCAAAAUAUCUACUUGUCAAGUAGAAUAUACUUUAUAGUGAUAAAUU